rnacentral:rRNA from 1 species
CCUACGGGGGAGCAGCAGUAGGGAAUCUUCCACAAUGGACGCAAGUCUGAUGGAGCAACGCCGCGUGAGUGAAGAAGGGUUUCGGCUCGUAAAGCUCUGUUGUUAAAGAAGAACGUGGGUGAGAGUAACUGUUCACCCAGUGACGGUAUUUAACCAGAAAGCCACGGCUAACUACGUGCCAGCAGCCGCGGUAAUACGUAGGUGGCAAGCGUUAUCCGGAUUUAUUGGGCGUAAAGCGAGCGCAGGCGGUCUUUUAAGUCUAAUGUGAAAGCCUUCGGCUCAACCGAAGAAGUGCAUUGGAAACUGGGAGACUUGAGUGCAGAAGAGGACAGUGGAACUCCAUGUGUAGCGGUGAAAUGCGUAGAUAUAUGGAAGAACACCAGUGGCGAAGGCGGCUGUCUGGUCUGUAACUGACGCUGAGGCUCGAAAGCAUGGGUAGCGAACAGGAUUAGAUACCCUGGUAGUCCAUGCCGUAAACGAUGAUUACUAAGUGUUGGAGGGUUUCCGCCCUUCAGUGCUGCAGCUAACGCAUUAAGUAAUCCGCCUGGGGAGUACGACCGCAAGGUUGAAACUCAAAGAAAAUUUGACGGA